rnacentral:rRNA from 1 species
CUACGGGACGCAGCAGUGGGGAAUAUUGCACAAUGGGCGCAAGCCUGAUGCAGCAACGCCGCGUGAACGAAGAAGGUCUUCGGAUCGUAAAGUUCUUUUCUUAGGGAAGAAAAAUGACGGUACCUAAGGAAUAAGCACCGGCUAAAUACGUGCCAGCAGCCGCGGUAAUACGUAUGGUGCAAGCGUUAUCCGGAAUCACUGGGCGUAAAGGGAGCGUAGGCGGUUUUGCAAGUCAGAAGUGAAAGGCUACGGCUCAACCGUGGUAAGCUUUUGAAACUGCAAGACUAGAGUGCAGGAGAGGCAAGUGGAAUUCCUAGUGUAGAGGUGAAAUUCGUAGAUAUUAGGAGGAACACCAGUGGCGAAGGCGACUUGCUGGACUGUAACUGACGCUGAGGCUCGAAAGCGUGGGGAGCGAACAGGAUUAGAUACCCUUGUAGUC